CCAGCAUGUGCAGAGGGUACGCGUGACGGUGCGAAACUGUGUGGCAACUGCAUGUGCUGCAGUCAUGGGGGAGGAAACCAGCCAUCCAGCCGUCCAGCUGUUUCUUAAUUGAUAGACACAUGGGUACAACCGCCACCAAUGUCACUGGUGAUUAUUUCUGGACGAGAGUUGUGAGCAGAGAAUGGUCACGUGAACGAUGGGGGCUGUCACAACUACAGCUGAGCUGAGUGAGUUGGACAUCGUUUUGAUUUACUGAAUUGCUGGCCGUUUGGUUGAACUAUGAAAACAAGCCUUUUUAUUGAGGUGAACAAGUACACAAAGCAACCUUGUAUUAAGUAAGAGAUAGCUGCCUGUUGGUGUUUUCGUCAAUCGAAGAAAAUAAAAAAAAAUUACGAGUGAGCGAAGAAUUCUGACGCGACCCUGUGUGGCGCCUAGCAGUGGCCGUAGGGGAGAGACGCCGAGAGAGCACCGCCGCUCCCACCUUCCUGCGUUCUUGUCCAACGUGCACUGAGAACUAAGGUGUGUGACAACUGAACACUACAUAUUACGAGAAUCUGUUAUCUGUAGUCACAAGGGAACUUUCUCAGUGAGAGCGAGUGGACAGGGCAGCGGACACAAUGGUGUGUGGAAGAGUGACUUGUUGGUUCACUUAAAGUUUGUUCCCUGAACUGGUCUGAUCAUACAGCCUCCUGGAGAGGACUGAACACUGAUAGUACUUCUCGACACACGCUGUCAUGACCUACAGCGGCAUCAACAACGGCGUCCAGAGACGCAGACUGACGGGACGUGGUAUAUUGUACUUAUACGCGAUUCACGAUAACUCUGAAGAGAACCUCGUGACAGUGAAGUGUGGUUUGUAAGAGCCGCAUCACAGCAGUCCACACCCGCGGCGCCUUCCACCGCUAACCUCAUGCAGGGUGCUCACCAGGAUAGACUCACUCACACACACACACACA